rnacentral:lncRNA from 1 species
AUGAAUAGUUCGCCAGGGGGGAUUUGAUCUUCAGGUAAGGUGCGUAUUGUAUCGGAUAAAAGGCUGCGAAUAGGCCUCCUCUCUUUCCAGCGCUCUCCUCUACCCCUAACAUUUUGUUCCCUUCCCUCUUCGCUAACCUCUAUUCCGUUGAAUGCUAUUCAGUCUGGGAUCGAGCCCAACUAUUAUAAUUAUAGUUAUAGCUUUCUUCCAACAGCAAAUUCAUUCGCAAGAACCGAUGUCGUACUGCUUCAGUGGAAUGCUCCGUAA